CAAACUAAAUCAAUGAAAAAUAUAAAUGGAAAGCAAUAGGAUAUGUUGGAGUACAUGAGGAAGGCAUUUGGUUUAAAACUAAUUCGGGCUGACCUUGUUUUUCCAGAAAGACCUGACAUGUCCUGUU